CACCACCAUCCAGGCGGCUCGCCGCCCGUCGACUAACAGGAUAUAUGAGGCCUCGUGGAAGUCCUUCUCUACAUGGUGUCGCUCCCAGGAGGCGGAUCCGUUUCUUCCAUCGGUGGCUCAGGUGUUGGAUUUUCUUCAGGCAGGCUUAGACAAAGGCCUCUCACCCAACACCCUAAGGCGUCAGGUGGCAGCCAUUGCGUCUGUGGUGCAUUGGCCUGGCCUUCCUUCCAUUUCGCACCAUCCUCGAAUUAGGGCUUUUCUUCGGGGCGCGACCAAUUUGUGCCCUCCUGUGGUCCACCGUUUUCCAUCAUGGGACCUCUCCUUGGUUCUUGCAUCUCUCACAAAGGAUCCCUUUGAGCCCCUGAGGUCCAUCAGCCUCCAAUUCCUAACCUAUAAGGUUGUUUUUCUGGUCGCGAUUACUUCAGCUCGGCGCAUCUCCGAGGUUGCCGCCUUGUCGUGUCGCAGCGAUCUCUGCGUUUUCCACUCUGACAGGGUGGUGUUGCGUCCUGAUCCGACCUUCAUGCCGAAGGUGAAUUCGGCCUUCCACAGGACGCAGGAGCUGGUUCUUCCAAACUUCUGCCCGCAGCCUUCUCAUGACCUGGAACACCAGUGGCAUCGUCUAGACGUCCGCAGGGCCCUGCGUGUCUACCUUAAGCGUACAGCUCCGUUUCGGAAGUCUGAGGCUCUAUUUGUUUCCUUUAGUCCAGCCUCCCAAGGGCGGAAAGUGUCUUCCUCUACCAUUGGUCGCUGGUUGCGGGCCACUAUUGCGAAAGCAUACAUUUCACAGUCCCUGCCAGUGCCUUCCGGUAUCACCGCCCACUCUACGCGGAGUGCCGCUACGUCCGCUGCCUGGGCCACUCAGGCUCCUAUCUCCGAGAUCUGCAGAGCAGCCACUUGGGCCUCGCCAUCACCAUUUGUCCGGCAUUACAAGGUUGAUGUCUUUGCUUCGGCUGACGCUUCCUUUGGCAGGAGAGUGUUGCAACGGGUCCACUCGCCCGGGGUGUCUUCGGCCCAGACGGAGUCCCUCCCGUAGGACAGGCCCAGCUUUGGUAUGUCCCACUGCCUGGAUGCUCGGAGCAGCUCGCUGGAGAAUGGGCGUUGGU
rnacentral:lncRNA from 1 species